CCCCCCCCCUCUCUCUUCUCUUGAGGUCAGUGACAUAGUGACUGUGUGUUUCAAUUUAAAAGUUUUUUUUUUUUUUUUUCUUCCCUAUUUUACAGCUUGGUCAGUCUUUGGUUUGGUUUGAGAAUGUGUCCGAUCAUAAUGCAGUCACGGACCAAAAAGACGAGAUGGAAAUGUAACAAAUGACAUUGCAUUAUCAAUGUUCAGGUAUCAGAGGACAAACUGGACAUCAAAUGACAUUACAUUAUCAAUGUUCAGGUAUCAGAGGACAAACUGAACAUCAAAUGACAUUACAUUAUCAAUGUUCAGGUAUCAGAGGACAAACUGAACAUCAAAUGACAUUACAUUAUCAAUGUUCAGGUAUCAGAGGACAAACUGGAA
ensembl:lncRNA